rnacentral:rRNA from 1 species
GACGUAGGGGGCAAGCGUUGUCCGGAAUUACUGGGCGUAAAGCGUGCGUAGACGGUCAUACAAGUCGGGUGUGAAAGCCCCGGGCUCAACCUGGGAAUUGCAUUCGAGACUGUAUGGCUAGGGUGCGGAAGAGGGAAGUGGAAUUUCCGGUGUAGCGGUGAAAUGCGUAGAUAUCGGAAGGAACACCAGUGGCGAAAGCGACUUCCUGGUCCGACACCGACGUUCAGGCACGAAAGCGUGGGGAGCAAACAGG